GAUGAACGCUGGCGGCGUGCCUAAUACAUGCAAGUCGAGCGAACGGACGAGAAGCUUGCUUUUCUGAUGUUAGCGGCGGACGGGUGAGUAACACGUGGAUAACCUACCUAUAAGACUGGGAUAGCUUCGGGAAACCGGAGCUAAUACCGGAUAAUAUUUUGAACCGCAUGGUUCAAAAGUGAAAGACGGUCUUGCUGUCACUUAUAGACGGAUCCGCGCUGCAUUAGCUAGUUGGUAAGGUAACGGCUUACCAAGGCAACGAUGCAUAGCCGACCUGAGAGGGUCAUCGGCCACACUGGAACUGAGACACGGUCCAGACUCCUACGGGAGGCAGCAGUAGGGAAUCUUCCGCAAUGGGCGAAAGCCUGACGGAGCAACGCCGCGUGAGUGAUGAAGGUCUUCGGAUCGUAAAACUCUGUUAUUAGGGAAGAACAUAUGUGUAAGUAACUGUGCACAUCUUGACGGUACCUAAUCAGAAAGCCACGGCUAACUACGUG
rnacentral:rRNA from 1 species